CUUAAAAUCUUAUUUUCUUCCAGAAAUAGAUUGAGUUGCUCGCAGACAAGUUUCUCAAAUUAAUUUUGCAAUAACUAAAAGUAUAGAAAUAGGCCGGUAGUUACCCCGCGCUUUCUUAUUUCCAGAUUUAUAUAUUGGAGAAAUCCUUGCCGUUUUAAGAUCGUCUGGGAAAAUGCAAUUAUUUAGAGAAGUAUUGAAAAUAAGUGCCAA